rnacentral:rRNA from 2 species
UACGUAGGUGGCGAGCGUUGUCCGGAAUGAUUGGGCGUAAAGGGAGCGCAGGUGGGACGGUAAGUCCUUCUUAAAAGCGUGGGGCUCAGCCCCAUGAAGGGAAGGAAACUAUCGAUCUUGAGUGCCGGAGAGGAAAGCGGAAUUCCCAGUGUAGCGGUGAAAUGCGUAGAUAUUGGGAAGAACACCAGUGGCGAAGGCGGCUUUCUGGACGGCAACUGACACUGAGGCUCGAAAGCCAGGGGAGCGAACGGG